rnacentral:rRNA from 1 species
GAUCCUGGCUCAGGGAUGAACGCUAGCUACAGGCUUAACACAUGCAAGUCGAGGGGCAGCAUUAUCGAAGCUUGCUUUGAUAGAUGGCGACCGGCGCACGGGUGAGUAACGCGUAUCCAACCUUCCCCAUAGUCAGGAAUAGCCCGGCGAAAGUCGAAUUAAUGCCUGAUGUUUUCCACGGACGGCAUCCGAUGUGGAACAAAGAUUGAUCGCUAUGGGAUGGGGAUGCGUCUGAUUAGCUUGUUGGCGGGGUAACGGCCCACCAAGGCAACGAUCAGUAGGGGUUCUGAGAGGAAGGUCCCCCACAUUGGAACUGAGACACGGUCCAAACUCCUACGGGAGGCAGCAGUGAGGAAUAUUGGUCAAUGGGCGGAAGCCUGAACCAGCCAAGUAGCGUGAGGGAUGACUGCCCUAUGGGUUGUAAACCUCUUUUAUAAGGGAAUAAAAUACGGGACGUGUCCUGUUUUGCAUGUACCUUAUGAAUAAGGACCGGCUAAUUCCGUG